rnacentral:lncRNA from 1 species
AAAGUUGAAUAUAGUUUUUGAGAGAAUUAAUCAAGAAGUCUCAAACUAACCCAAACAGGCUUUAAAAAAAAAUCAACAAAUACUUGCUGGUUAAGAUAGUUAUAUGAUAAUUCUUUGAAGUUUCUCUAUUGAUAAUCCUACUAUCAGGGUAUAGGAUACUGAUAGUAUAAGUUUUAUUUGCAAAUAGUUGCAAAAGACUUCAUGAUAGGUGUUGGGUAUAAAAUACCCACAGUCGAAACCCUCGGC